UACGUAUGGUGCAAGCGUUAUCCGGAUUUACUGGGUGUAAAGGGAGCGCAGGCGGUACGGCAAGUCUGAUGUGAAAGCCCGGGGCUCAACCCCGGUACUGCAUUGGAAACUACCGGACUGGAGUGUCGGAGGGGUAAGUGGAAUUCCUAGUGUAGCGGUGAAAUGCGUAGAUAUUAGGAGGAACACCAGUGGCGAAGGCGGCUUACUGGACGAUAACUGACGCUGAGGCUCGAAAGCGUGGGGAGCAAACAGG
rnacentral:rRNA from 1 species